CAGCAGCCGCGGUAAUACCGGCGGCCCGAGUGGCGGUCACUAUUAUUGGGCUUAAAGCGUCCGUAGCCGGGUUGGGAAGUCCUCCGGGAAAUCUGGCCGCUUAACGGUCAGAAUGCCGGAGGAUACUCCCAGCCUAGGGAGCGGGAGAGGCCGAGGGGAUUCCCGGAGGAGGGGUGAAAUACUAUAAUCCCGGGAGGACCAACUGUGGCGAAGGCGCUCGGCUGGAACGCGUCCGACGGUGAGGGACGAAGGCCAGGGGAGCAAACCGGAUUAGAUACCCGGGUAGUCCUGGCUGUAAACGAUGCGGACUUUGUGUCGGACAAGCUAUGAGCUUGUCCGGUGCCGGAGGGAAACCGUUAAGUCCGCCGCCUGGGGAGUACGGCCGCAAGGCUGAAACUUAAAGGAAUUGGCGGG
rnacentral:rRNA from 1 species